GACAUAGGUCGCAAACGUUAUCCGGAAUUAUUGGGCGUAAAGGGCUCGUAGGCGGUUUGUCGCGUCGGGAGUGAAAACUCAGGGCUUAACCCUGAGCCUGCUUCCGAUACGGGCAGACUAGAGGUAUGCAGGGGAGAACGGAAUUCCUGGUGUAGCGGUGAAAUGCGCAGAUAUCAGGAGGAACACCGGUGGCGAAGGCGGUUCUCUGGGCAUUACCUGACGCUGAGGAGCGAAAGUGUGGGGAGCGAACAGG
rnacentral:rRNA from 1 species